CCAGCACUGCCGGCCCACGAGGAGCCCGCCAGCCACCGCUCGAACCGGGCCUCCGAGGGUAGGAGGAGCCCAGUGCGGCCGCCUUCCCUGCGGCGGCUGGAGAGGAGGGGGGGCAGACAGAGAGGGACCCCCGACCCGACUCCUCCCCUCCUCCGCCAGGGGCGUCUCAAGUCCCCACCCAACAGCCAACCAGGAGCAGCCACGGCAGCGAGGCCCCUCCCCACAGGCCCAGGCCCCGCCCCCGCCGUGGCUGCCGCCUGAAAGCCGGUUGCCGAGGCGUCCCCUCCACCCGUCGCUCGCUCUCCCCUCCCCUCCCCUCCCCCCGGCCCUUCACCGGUCGAGAAGCGAGAAAGGGAAGCAGCGGCCGGGGGGGCGCACGCGAGGACCUCCCCCUCCCCGGGCGGGGUCAAAGCAGGCCGCCCCCCCGCGGGCCCUCCGUCCCCGCCGACCCACCAGGGCGCGUAGAACUCGACGAGGGCGACGCUGCGGUCGGCCAGGCCGCUGUCGAAGUCGUCGUCGCUGAGCUCGAGGACGUCUGAGGCGAGUCCCGGCCGCGGCACGAGGGCGAGGAGCAGGGCGAGGAGCAGCGCCUCCAUGAGGCCCAGCCACCGGGCGGACGGACGGACGAAAGGAGGCGAGGAGGAGGAGGAGGAGGAGGCGGCGGCGGAGAGGCCAGUCCGGUGGCGGCGGCGGCUUUCGCUUUCUCUCGCGCUCGCCUCAGCGGGAAGCUGAAGAGGAGCCGGAAGUCCCGCCCCCUCCAGGAGACAGGCCGGAUCUGUAGUGUGGCAGCCGCUCAUUGGCCGGUCACGAGGCGAGGCUGGCCAAUGCAGGGGAAAAGAUUUGACCCUUGACUUCAGAAAGAGGUCUGUGAAAUGAGUGGCACAGAGUGGUAAGCGGCGGUAACGCAGCCGAAGCUCUGCUCACGGCUGGAAUUCGAUUCCAAUGGAAGGAGGAAGUUGAAUCUCUGGUAAAAGGGGUCAAGGUCCACUCAGCCUUCCAUCCAUCCAUGGUCAGUAAAAUGAGUACCCAGCUGGGGGGUAAAGAAAGGCCGGGGAAGGAACUGGCAAUCCCACCCCAUAUAUAUGGUCUGCCUAGUAAACGUCGCAAAAUGUCACCCUAAGAGUCGGAAACAACUCACACUACAAGUGCAGGGACACCUUUACUUUUUAGGAAGAUUCUCUACCCUGUGGACUGCUAUAAACCCAUUUUGACAGCCAACCCAAUUCCAGUGAAUAAUAAUAAUAAUAAAUAAUAAAUUUAAUUUCUGUGUCGCCUAUCUGGCCAAAGGCCACUCUAGGCGACGUACAAAACAGUUAAAACACAAUGAGAUAAAAUACAAUAAUACAAUAAAAAACAGUAUGAGAAUAAUACAGCAGCAACAAUAUUAAAACAAGGUAGGAGGCAUUUCAGUUACAGUAAUUAACCCUCCCCGGAGAUCCCAAAGGCCUGUUGAAAGAGCCAGGUCUUUAAGGCUUUACGAAAUACAUUUAGGGAAGAGGCGUGCCGGAGAUCUUGUGGGAGGGAGUUCCAGAGAGUGGGGGCUGCCACUGAGAAUGCCCUCUCUCUUGUACCCGCCAAUCUAGCUGUUUUUGUCGGCGGGAUUGAGAGAAGGCCUUGAGUGGCUGAUCUUGUCGGGCGGCAUAAUUGGUGGCAUUGAAGGCGCUCCAUAAGAUAAACUGGGCCGAGACCGUAUAGGGAUUUAAAGGUUAAUACCAACACCUUGAAUUGGGCCCGGAAAACAACUGGAAGCCAGUGUAGAUCGAAUAACACUGGUGUGAUGUGAUCCCGGCGGCGACUAUUCGUAAGUAGUCGAGCCGCCGCAUUUUGUAUAAGUUGUAAUUUCUGGACCGUUUUCAAGGGUAACCCCACGUAGAGCGCAUUACAGUAGUCCAAACGAGAGGUGACCAAGGCAUGUACUACCAGGGGGAGCUGAUGAGCAGGAAGGUAGGAUUGCAGCCUUCGUAUGAGGUGUAGUUGAUACCAGGCUGCCCGGCUCACCGCCGAAAUCUGAGCCUCCAUGGACAGCCUGGAGUCAAGUACAACCCCAAGGCUGCGGACCUGGUCCUUCAGGGGUAAACUCACCCCAUUGAACUUCAGGUCAACAUCUCCCAACCUUCUUUUGUCCCCCACAAGUAGCACCUCCGUCUUAUCGGGGUUCAGCUUCAGCUUGUUCCUUCCCAUCCAUCCACUCACGGAUUCCAGGCACUUGGACAAGGUCUCCACAGCCAACUCUGGUGAAGAUUUAAACGAAAGAUAGAGCUGAGUGUCAUCUGCAUAUUGGUGACACUGCAGCCCAAAUCUCCUGAUGAUUGUCCCCAGCGGCUUCAUAUAAAUAUAGCAUGGGAGAGAGGAUAGAGCCCUGUGGCACACCACAAUUGAGAGGCCAAGGGUCUGAAACCUCCUCCCCCAAUGCUACUUGUUGGUACCUAUCGGAGAGAAAGGAACGGAACCACUGUAAUACAGUGCCUCCAAUUCCCAAUCCCUCCAGGCGAUGUAAAAGGAUACCGUGGUCGACAGUAUCAAAAGCCGCUGAGAGAUCGAGGAGGACAAGAAAGGUGAAUUCUCCCCUAUCUAAUGCCCUCCUCAAAUCAUCUACCAGAGCGACCAAGGCUGUUUCAGUUCCGUGACCAGUCCUGAAACCCGAUUGGUAUGGAUCCAAGUAAUCCGUUUCAUCCAAGUGUGUUGACAACUGGUAGGGAAAACACACGUGGUUUGGUCUACCUUCACAAGCAGUAGCUUGGGAACAAUUGCAGCCACACUUCCCAAUAUGUGAAUUCUCUUUUACCACUAUUGGGCAAGAAACAAACCAUCUUGUACCCAACAAGGUGCAUCAUCAGUGGGUUUAAGGGGGGGGGGUUCAGCUGACCACAUGAAACCACUGUUGUUGCUUCUAUGGGUGUAAGGGAGUAAGGUCGGAAGUAAAUGAAACACAAAUAAAAAAGAGACGGCAAUUAUUUCCUAAAUGCAAUACCUUACCAACCACAAGAGUUGCAUGAGUAAGACUGAAAACCCAGCAUCCCACAACCAGUCAGGGUUCCUAACAAAAACUAAACAAAUCCUGGCAGCCAGUCAGCCAAGGUCAUAGAAAUAGAAUACUGUGGGACAAUUGCUGACAUGAAUGAGACCCUAUCAGCACAUUAUAUCUCUGCUCUGAAAUCUGCAUUGGUUGCUGAUUUGCUACAAGGCCAAGUUCAAGGUGUGCUUUCCAUGUUAUGGGUGCCACCUAGUACUUGUUCUGCUCUUGUAAGAAAUCAGUCCUUUAGUGUGGCAGCACCUACACUUUUGAACUCCCUGCCUAUUGACAUUAGGCAGAUGCCUUCAUUGUACUCUUUUCAGCACCUGCCAUAAACAUUUUUGGUUAGGCAAGCCUAUCCAGGCAUGUAGAGGCUAUUGUUUUUAUCUGUUUUUAACUCAUUGUUGGGUUUUAUUAUUCUGAAUGUUUUUAAAUACCUGUCUAACUGUUUUUGCCAGUAAUUUUAUUGUUUUAAUUCCUUCUGUAAACAGCUUUGAGAUUUUUUUCAGUAAAGUGGUAUAUAAUUGUUGAAAAUAAAAUACAUAAAUAAAUUUUAGAGUCA